rnacentral:sRNA from 1 species
UUUUAGUAGAGACAGGGUUUUGCCAUGUUGGCCAGGUUGGUCUCAAACCCCUGACCUCAGGUGAUCCACCCGCCUUGCCCUCCCAAAGUGCUGGGAUUACAGGCAUGAGUCACUGCUCCUGGCCCCAGAAUUCUUUAUGUGAGAAGGAGUUUCUGUGAUUUUAACUGCUAUUGUAAUAGAAACCAGUUGAUUCUGAAGAGUCACCUCUUUUCCUGGAAAUAUUUUGGCUGUGAGUUAAGAGGAACAUUAUUUUCUCCCAUGCUGGUGACUUUGGAAAGGGGUUGUCAUCAGUGCAAUGAACUUGGUCUGGGACUUCCUUCCUUCCCCAUGGACUGGGCCCCUGGGUCCUCUGUUGCUUCUGGGAGGGGCCUUGGGAGUACAGUUUACUCUAGGCCAGGACAUUCUAAGACAUGUGGAAACCAUUGGUCACACCUUCCAGCAACAGAGAUUAGUUUGUAAAUGUCUGUUUCAGGUGUUUCACAACAUCUAUUGAAUGACCAUUGCUCCCAUACCAGAUUCUGGUGACCUGAUCUUAGGCUUGACAGCUGUGGUGGAGACUUGGGUUGGCAGAAGCCUACCUUGGUGUGUUGGAAGAGUGAUUGCUUAGUGCAUGAGGUGCCUUUUACAGCCCAUUUUGCAGUAGUUCUGGCUGCAGCCCUGCUGCUUUGACCUUGCAGGCCAAAUUUCCUGGCUCCUCCAAAGGGGAUGAUGUUCUUUCCCUCCAGACACAGUUAGAGGGAAUCCUGACAGUUGCAUCAAGGCUGGUCCAGACUGUCACCACACUUUCUCUUUUGUGCUGCUUGGUCCUGACUGCCUUUUGAAUCUCUUUUAGAGCUCUGAGCUCUUCACCCUGACCUAUGGUGCCCUGGUCACCCAGCUAUGUAAGGACUAUGAAAAUGAUGAAGAUGUGAAUAAACAGCUGGACAAAAUGGGCUUUAACAUUGGAGUCCGGCUGAUUGAAGAUUUCUUGGCUCGGUCAAAUGUUGGGAGGUGCCAUGACUUUCGGGAAACUGCGGAUGUCAUUGCCAAGGUGGCGUUCAAGAUGUACUUGGGCAUCACUCCAAGCAUUACUAAUUGGAGCCCAGCUGGUGAUGAAUUCUCCCUCAUUUUGGAAAAUAACCCCUUGGUGGACUUUGUGGAACUUCCUGAUAACCACUCAUCCCUUAUUUAUUCCAAUCUCUUGUGUGGGGUGUUGCGGGGAGCUUUGGAGAUGGUGAGUGCAACUCUUUAUCUUCUGGGACACCCGAAAUGCAAUAGGGACUUGAUAAGUGUUUAAAUGAAUGAAAGAGAGAAAAGAAAGGGCUUUGGCUCACCCCAGUGCUUUACUGCCUGAGAUGGUGAUGCUGCUGAGGUAGGAUCCAAGUCGGACAUCUUUACAUGGUGAUACUCCUCCAUACCAGGCUGGAAGGUGGUGCUGUCAGUCCCCAAAGCCCAGGAACACCCAUUCUCAGAUAGGCUUAUUUGGUGACAGUCUCAUUCUUGGGUAUUCUUUGCUAAGUUUCUCCUUAAGGGUUGGAGCCAUUGUCUUAUGCAACGGAAUGUUGGCGCUGUCAAUCCUGUCCUUGUGGGAAACCAGCCCCCCUUUUUUGGCUGCUGUGGAUGAGUCAGUUAUGCCCCAUCCCCACUGGUUCCCUAGAGGCUGUGGCCAGGCAGCUACCCCUUCAUUUUCCCACUGUCCCCCAGGUCCAGAUGGCUGUGGAGGCCAAGUUUGUCCAGGACACCCUGAAAGGAGACGGUGUGACAGAAAUCCGGAUGAGAUUCAUCAGGCGGAUUGAGGACAAUCUUCCAGCUGGAGAGGAAUAACCAUCCCUACAACUCGAGGAUAGCCAUCAGGAGCACUGUUGGAAUCAGCAGGCCUCUGUGCUCCCUCUGCCCUCCAGAACUCAGUGACUCUUGAACAUGGAUGUUAUAUAUUCUUAUAACCUGUUUCCAUUCUCCAUUCAAAUAAAGAGCAGACUGCGAUAUAGUCCAUUUACCCCAUGUGUGCACAUUCAGGAGCGACAGUCUCUGCCCCCAUUCCCUUGAAAGGGGCUGGAUGUAAUCACCCUUGGUUGGACUAGAAAGAGCUCAAACCAUUUUACAUUCCUGUUUGAAUUUUUCCAAAGCAAAACUCACUUUGACCCCAUUAAGAGGCAAGCCUGGCACAUCUAUCCCUGGGCCUUUAGAAAGCCAUUUGCCUCAAAUGGCUAUAGGGUUGUGGGGUGGAGGGAGGAAGGGCUGGGAGGGAGUGGGGAGGGAUUGCUAGCUGUAGUGUGACACAUUGUAGUGUUUGCCAGGAAAGGAGCCAGUCAUGCCGGAAACACUGACUUCUGGGAAGCCACCCAGGUCUCAUUCCUCCCUGCUGUUGGAGGCAACAUCUCCUCUUUUUACAGAGGGUACAUCCUUUUUUCUUACAAAUUCUUCAAUAAAGACACAUUCUUGAGUG